GGCUGUUGUUGCUGGAGGAAUCGGAGUAGGGGGAAUCAUGCACAGUGACACAGCUGAUGACGUUCUUCCUUUGCUUGGACAAGGUGCUGGUGGGUGCAUGCUUCUGCUCCUCCUCUUCAUCGGUGUCGCUGCUGAUAGUGAUGACGCUCACAGCGGGGCUGGGGGUGUCGGGAAUGAUUAUGGGCUGCCGCUGCCGCUCCCGCGUGGUGCUGGUGGCCA
rnacentral:lncRNA from 1 species